rnacentral:lncRNA from 1 species
GACCACUUUGGUCUUGUGGCUACUUGUUGACUACCUUUUCAAUAUCGCUGCCUGCCUAUUUUGUCCUCGAGUUAUGCAACAUUUAUUUGAGUUACGUAUUUUUUGAAAACUUUAUUCGGCAGGGAGUUAAUUUAUCGUGUUCUUGCCAACUGCCUGGUCAUUAGUAAGUCGCUAACAAACGAAUUCAAUAGCAAAUAGUGUUGCUGCCAGGAGACGGGGACAUAUUUCAUCCGGAAAACCGCAUCAGCAAUUUGAACCUGUUCCAGUCAAGUUCCACGACGAGAAGCAACGCCUAUGAAAGGUGUAAUCGCUGGUAUCGGAAAUGGAUUUAUAUUCGCGUUCUGAAAGUAAAAAAUAAUCUGGUGGGCGAUUUUAUUCCAGUUGAUUAUCCAAUCAAUUUGUUGAUUGCUGUGGCUUGGUUCAUAGCAACUCGAAGGCCGUCGGGCGUCCCCGUGUAUAGUUGCACCACUGGAUAUCGAAACUCACUGACGUGGGGUAUGCUAAAACAUUGGGUCUUGCAAUCUUGGUUGAAAUUCCCUACAAAAGAUAUGCUGUGGUAUCCUAGCGUUCAUUACAUAACUAACAAUCUUUCGCUCAAAAUCAACCAGACGUUCACUAUCUGCCAGCCUACUUGAUGGACUUGUUUAUGCUAGCGACGGGCAAACGUGCAAAAUGGGUCCGGUAAGGUGCAGAAAAUUUCAACAAAAACGAAGCUUUGCAAUCCAUCCGUUCCGACGAUUCCGUACAGUCAAACGUGGUAAUCGUGAGGGAAUCUUUUGGCUCUCGGUAGGUGGCUAAAAUGGUUUGUCCCCCAGCCACCAGGUGACGCGAGUGUCUUAGUGAGGAGGGAGGACGAAAUAUUUGCCAUUUGUUUCCAAAACGCUGUCUGAAAGUGUAUUCUAAAUCAUAGUCCGAAUUCACUACGGAAUUGCGGUGUCGAUCUAAAUUUUCAGCCAUGAAAUGGCAAUCUGGCGUAUAAUUUCACUUGGCCAAAUAAUGUGACGACGUGGGUGGAAAAUGCUGUCCAAUGUCGGCCAUUGUUAGCUGUACCUAUACGGCUGUCGGCUGCACGUCUCAUCUCGUGCAGAAACACUUCGGAGCUAGUAAAGUUGGAGAAGGAGAUCCCUUUGCUCAACUAUUGCAGAAAUUGUGAACACGACAAAGUCUGAGCUUCUUGGCUGUUCAUCAACAUGGUUUUGUUGCAACCAGCUGGUGAAAGAUGUGAUCGAGUCAAGUUGAGCUGCAGGUGCUGCAUGCAGUUUAUCAAGCUGGUGUUAUCCCAAGUGUCACUCCAGGAAAACUUCUGGAAUUGGCUGGAGAUGCUGCCUUCUUUUGUAAUAGCAAAUUGGGUCGUCGUCGUAUGGAACAUCAUCAUUUUGCUGUUGUAUCGGGGUGAUUGGCUGGAGAGAACAAUACUGGCAAGGAAACAUGGAUGAACAACUGCAGUGCACUGUCACCAAGUGCAUUCUUCGUCGUAUUAUCAGUACGCAAUCGGUGUCGUGCUGUUGCCGUUUGUCGUAUCGUUGAAGGUUGGGUCGAUCACUGGCGUACCCAUAUCUCCUGGGUAUGGCGGAUACCAAAGCACCACGCCGUCACCUUGCUACACAACGACAACAUUCGCACCGACCGGUUACUACACUGAGGGCUACAAUUACUACACCAUCAAGGCUCCAGAGUAUUAAACCGCAGCUAAUGCUGUCCCAAGCUCAAUCACCAAAGAUCCCGAGUACUACACCGAGGCUCCCAAGUACUACACCGAGGCUCUAAGUGCUACACCACCAAGUCAUCGGAGUACUACACGUAUGUUGCCCCAGCUUAUACACCGAGGCUCCCAAGUAUUACUUAGUUCCUAGCUACUACACCGAAGCUCCAACUUUAUUACACCACCAAAGCGGCUGAAUACUACACCGAGCCG